rnacentral:lncRNA from 1 species
UGUAAAUCGUUCGAGUCUUACAAUCUAUAAGUAUAUUUUACGCUACGUCAUAUCGCGCAACGCGCAACGUCACGGACCUCGCAUUGCAGGGAGUCAGCCGUGGCCGCCAUGACUGCUUCCGAUAAAACAGUAGAUGUAUACUAAGGAUUUAAUCUAGACAGUCAUUGUAACUUAUUACAAUCAAAUAAUCACCAGCAAUAUUUCCGAGUAUCCACAGGCGACGUGAAAUUCGCGUCUCCAUCAGCCCAAUACCACUGCACGACACAAACCGAAAUAACGGACCGUCCGACCAAAUUUCAUUACACAAUUUAUAUCAUAGGUUCCAGUUCUUGUAAAAGCUGAUGCACCCGGACGUCAAGCCCGCAAGGGCAAGCACGACGGGGCUGUUCAGGGCCCUGUGCCGGCCACCUGCAACCAAGGAAACAUGCUCUCUUAGGAUAGCGUGCACCCAAAAUUUCCACGUGAAUUGCGGCAGCACUCACCGGUCACGUCAUUGAGUGCCAUAACGGAGUCAGCGAUGUCCUGGACUAUAAGUGCGCACCGAAGGUUCCUCUGGAAGCGCAGUGUCACCAACGUGCUUUCCAACUUGGCGUCCGUCACGCCCUCCUCCUGCGUGCCGGAAAAGUUACAGGUGAGAAGGCAUACGGGUUGAUCUUUAGCGCCGGUCCAUUCAGCGGCGCAUUAUAAGAUUGUAUGUACUAACUCGCUCGUUGUGUCGGUUAUGAGUUGACAAACCUUCCGUAGCUUCAGCAACCGCUCUGUAAGCUCGCUCUCCUGCUUGAUCAGCUUUUCCAGCUUUAAAUACGAGAUCCAAAUGUUUCCUGCGUAGCCUACAAGCUCCGCAAACGCGCUUGCAUAAGCCAGGCGUUCCUCGAGGUCUUUGUUCAGCGCUCCAGUCUUGACGAGCCUGGCACACGUGUACAAUAUCGAUUUAUUUUAUUAAGAUGUGCGUGGGUGCGGUCAUCAUAAAACCAAACCGCAAAACUUACCAGGUGAAUUGCUCAAUGAAAUAGUAAAUACCCUCGCCACCGUACGCCAGCAGCUCCAGGAUAAUUGUGGCAUCUUUCGUUUUGCUAUGGCGCAGACUAUUGACAUCCUGGAGGAACUUGCCCAAUCGGAACGCUUUCCUGUAUGGCAACCGACAGAAGUCACGGAAAGAGCACCAUGACGAGGAGUUUGAAAGCCCUGCACCCACCG